rnacentral:rRNA from 1 species
UUAGGGAAUCUUCGGCAAUGGACGAAAGUCUGACCGAGCAACGCCGCGUGAGUGAAGAAGGUUUUCGGAUCGUAAACUCUGUUGUUAGAGAAGAACAAGGGUGAGAGUAACUGUUCACCCCUUGACGGUAUCUAACCAGAAAGCCACGGCUAACUACGUGCCAG